rnacentral:rRNA from 1 species
AGCAGCCGCCGCGGGAAAACGUAGGUGGCAAGCGUUGUCCGGAAUUAUUGGGCGUAAAGCGCGCGCAGGUGGUUUAAUAAGUCUGAUGUGAAAGCCCACAGCUCAACCGUGGAGGGUCAUUGGAAACUGUUAAACUUGAGUGCAGGAGAGAAAAGUGGAAUUCCUAGUGUAGCGGUGAAAUGCGUAGAGAUUAGGAGGAACACCAGUGGCGAAGGCGGCUUUUUGGCCUGUAACUGACACUGAGGCGCGAAAGCGUGGGGAGCAAACAGGAUUAGAUACCCCCGUAGUCCCUGUCUCUUAUAC